rnacentral:rRNA from 1 species
UACGGAGGGUGCGAGCGUUGUCCGGAAUCAUUGGGCGUAAAGGGCGCGUAGGUGGCCCGGUGAGUCUUUGGUGAAAGCGCGGGGCUCAACCCUGCGUCGGCCAGGGAUACUGCCGCGGCUCGAGCACUGUAGAGGCAGGCGGAAUUCCGGGUGUAGCGGUGGAAUGCGUAGAGAUCCGGAAGAACACCGGUGGCGAAGGCGGCCUGCUGGGCAGUUUGGCUGACACUGAGGCGCGACAGCGUGGGGAGCAAACAGG